GGAAUUGACGGAAGGGCACACCAGGGGUGGAGCCUGUGGCUUAAUUUGAAUCAACACGGGGAAACUUACCAGGACCAGAUGUUUUUUAUGACUGACAGGCUUCGGGUCUUUCAGGAUAUUGUUUUUGGUGGUGCAUGGCCGUUGGUGGUGCGUGGGUUGACCUGUCUAGCGUUGAUUCAGCUAACGAGCGAGAUUAUCGCCAAUUAUUUACUUUGCCGAAGUCCUUCGGUUAAAGUUCUAAUUGGGACUCCCUGCGAUUUUAGCAGGUGGAAGAGGGUAGCAAUAACAGGUCCGUGAUGCCCUUUAGAUGCUCUGGGCUGCACGCGUGCUACAAUGUUAGGAUCAAUAGGACUGCGAGCCUGAGAGGGUGCGCUACUCUUAUAAUCCCUAACGUAGUUGGGAUUGACGUUUGUAAUCAGCGUCAUGAACCAGGAAUCCCUUGUAAAUGUGUGUCAACAACGCACGUUGAAUACGUCCCUGCCCUUUGUACACACCGCCCGUCGCUCCUACCGAUUGGAUGACUCGGUGAAAUCACCGGAUGCUUACGAGCAGAAAGUGAUUAAAUCACGUUAUCUAGAGGAAGGAGAAGUCGUAACAAGGUAACGGUAGGUGAACCUGCCGUUGGAUCAGUU
rnacentral:ncRNA from 1 species